UGCGUGUCCUAUGUAGCCUAUAAAAUAGAUUGAUAAGUUUGAUGUGAUAGUUAUAUUUUAUCUACAUAUUGAAACCUAUCUUGACAAAUUUGUAUGGAACACAUAAACUAUAUUUCAAUUGUUUCAAAACUCUAUUGUUUCAACUAUAAAUAUCAAGCAAUAGGCUGCAUUAUUCACCACACAAAACUAGAUAGUACCGACAAAUUUAACACGGUGGCAGAGAGAUUUAGGAAAAUAAUUUGGAAAGUGAAUUCAUACUUAGUUCAACAAUUUGUUAGAUCUAACGAGGUAAGAUACUUUAUAUGCAAGUGGUUGUUUUCGUAUACUUUUAUGUUCAAUUAAUUAUGCAUGAAUUGCCUGUAGACUUUCGAGUUCGACCUAACGGAAUGUGAACUGUACUGAGUUCUUUCUAACGACGUGUGAAAUCCUUCGGGAAUUCAAAGUACUACUAAUGAGUGUAUUGCUUGGUCAUCGUUAUACUUCAUAAGAAAUAUGGUAUGCAAUAUUUAAUUCAAUGUCAUAUAAUUGUCUAUGAAAACUGCACGUCUCUUACUGAGUAUUUUUAAAUAUUCACUCUUGCUGUAAUUUUACAGGCUAGUUCGGGUUGAUUGGAUCUGUGGCAAGAUGGUGAUGCGGGCUGUCAAGUAGAUCAAAGGAACAUUAAGUUUUUAUGUCUUUAAAUUUUAGUUAGUUUAAAUUUAUUCAAAAACAUGUUUUUAAAUUAAUUAAUCAUUCAUGUCUAUAUUUUUUUCAUGUAUAACUUAAGUUUAUGGAUAUUCAGCACUUUUAUUUAUAAAGAAAAUUAUCGUUCCAUGUUCAAAACAAACA
rnacentral:lncRNA from 1 species